ensembl:lncRNA
GUGGCAGAGGAUUGUUAAUUGCCCCUUAGGUCUUCUGGGAUUGAAAUUCUCAAACUGAUGAGCCAUGUCUCCAUCCCCUGUCCUGGACUAUUGUCCUUCUUUGUGUGGUGAAUUAGUUGAACUGGAUCACACUCAAACAAAGAAAGUUAUUUCUUGAGACCUGUAGGGAUACAUAAAGGAGUAGUCGGGCUAAUCAGACGUUAGUGGGGUCAGGAUCAAGCCUCAGCAUCUCAGCAUUUUUAGGGAUUUGGCAGAUCUCUCACAUCUCAUCCUGGAGGGCCAUGCAGAUGAGGCCCAUCAGAUGAAGUGCAGAAUUGAGGAGCUCUCUCGGGAGUGGCGCUGUGGCUGUUCCAUGCCUUCAGGGGGAAGUUCAAUAAAGUGUCUAUCAGCUCUUGAUAAAGAAUAUCUUCACCAUAAACAAGAGAACAUGAGAACUGCUUCCACAGAAACAGGACACAUCAGAACAUAGUUAAAGGCAAACUGAGAAAAACAUUUUCUUCUCAAUGGUGGCAUUCCAGCCCCUACUUGCACCUGUCACCAGUCCUUACUUGAUCCUGCCUGGGAGCUGCAUCUCGAUGUCUCCACAACAUGGAGUUUGCUCAGAAGGCAUCAUGCCAGCCCUCCUCGACCCCUGAGGAGGAGGAGAGGAUGAACAGUUUGGAGAAGCUAAGAAUUGCUCUCCACAAGAUGCAAAAGGAGAGAGAUGAACUCCAGAGAAUCCUCUCUUCUUACCCAAGGAAUGACCUAAACUACAGGUCUUCAAUUCUCCAUCAGAAGCUUGAAUAGUGCACAGACCAGGACUACAUCUCUCUGUGACAGAACUGUCCACCAGGAGCACUGAGUGUGCAAAGAAUGUCAACAACUCCCCCAUCUCAGUCCUAAUAACCAUAGCAAUCUUAGGGUGCAUUUUGUUCUUUGCUUUCCUAUGUGUGAGGGUCCUUCAUGAUCAGUCAGGCAAAUUUCAAAGACCUUGAGAUAUUGCCUGUAACAUUCUCAUGCUUAACCUUUGGAGGACAUGUCCAUCAGCAACCCACCACACCCUUUGAGGCAGGUCUACACUGAUCUUCAAGAGAUUAUUACCAUCUUGCCUGCCUUUCUGCUUUGUUUGCAAGGCCAGCAGCAGGCUGUGGUGUACGUAACAAAUCUGCAGCAGUCAAGUGCUGCUCCUCUCACCUGUUUUCUUUUGUUUCUGGUUAGAAGUUUGAUUGCUUUAGGUUUUGCUUUGUUUUCAGUUGAAAUUUUGUUAUUUAUUUGUUAUCUUUUUCAUUUUUUAAUUAGUUUGUUAUAUUACUAAGGUUAUAUACAUUGAACUCAUUGACUUCCCACUUUAAAUGUUGUUUAAUAAAUCAAUGUGUGAUUAUAAAUAAAAAU